rnacentral:lncRNA from 1 species
AGUUACUGUGGUUGACUUUCGUUGUAUUGUCUGCAACAGACACCACGCUGCCGAGUGGAGGUCCUGAUGGAUUUAUCCAACCCUGCAUGGAGCGUCACCGUCUCGUGAGUGACCAGCGACGAUGAUGUCAGGUCACGAACAAAAGUAAGAACAACCCUUGAGAUCAAAAGAUCAAAGCCAACGGGCAUGUGCUCACUUGUUAAAGUCAAGCAGACGAGUUUGCUACAAUCUGCUUCAGCGUAUGCAUAAAGGUCGUGAUAAGGGUCAGUUGGUGCUCGAGGUAUAAGUUGUGGUGAAGCAACAAUCUUGUGCAUUGCCUUGAAACUAGAUCCAGCGACAUGGAUCUGUGCAGACCAAAAGAUGCGCGGGCAUAGAACCGGCAUAGACAAUAGGACAAACUGCUCGUGUGCUGCGAUGCUUGCAUCGUCUGGUCCCUCCCAAUGUCCUCAGGUCAUUGGAGCCAGCAGCAGAGUGCGUCCUACACAGGUAUCUGAGAUACCCAAAAGGUCUACAAGCACCACCAAUCUCUCGGCAUGUCAGAUUGACUUCAGCCUCAACACCUCACCCGAGCCCUUAGGACCAACAUCUCGAUGCUGAGUGCUGCCAGAAGUCGGAAACGCAUCCUUCUGUUCUAACGGAGGCAAACGAUCACUCGCCCGUCGGUUGUAACUUAUCUCCUCCAGGUGUGGCGGCCAUAAAGCAGACGGAUGGACCCAUCACGUUAUCACUCGUGAGUUUUUUUAAAGUCGAAGCCCGUAUUGGGAAUCGUUAACAAGCGUACCCUUUACAUUGCACGACUGACGACAUGCUCCCUUGUAAAUCGUUUCCGGUAAACCACGAAAUUCCCAUCCCAGAAACAGUCCACAGGUCAGUAGCAAGGAGAUGUGGUUCCCAGAAUAAUAUAAAUGUAAAGGUGCAGUGAUUGCCUUUCUCCAAGAUUUUGUAUCCAGCAGCACUACCAUGGUGCAAUGCUAAAGCUGAAACUAAAGUCGUGUGAUCUUAUCUAUCAAGCUAUUAAGUGAUUAUGUAUUUUGCACUAUUGUCAUAUUUGCCGAAAGGCACAAAACAGUUAAAACAGUUUAAGACGCCGCAUUUGCCAUUGUGUACAAGUCAAACUCGGUUUGACCCAGUCAGACUGUAAGUCUAUUAUUACGUACGUAUACCCGUUCACCCCCUAAGGUUACAGUUCUUCGUUCGCCAUAAAAAUGGGAGGGAUGUGAGAAAUAUCGUUUCCAUCUGCUCUGAGCGGCUAAUCGGCGACACUCAUUAUUUCCAGCGACGGAAAGCGCCCCGUCAGUCGGCCCGGAGGCCAAGGCCGACCAACCGGCGGCGGCUCGCUCGGUUCCUAUCUCGCUGACCUCCACCGUUCGCCCACAGCAAAAACACUCGGCGAGGGUUAGGUCAGAUAAUGGGUUGACGACACACCAAGGGCAAACGACUGUCGGAGAGGUAUAAAACGGGCGCCAGACGCAGCAGCGACACACUCACACAGUCCACACCACACUCAACAACAUCCACUCUCCAACACUCCACUCAACAUGCACAACCUGCCCGCCAUCAUGACGCUGACCAGGGAGCCGAUUGGCUCGGCUUGGCG